GACAGAGGAUGCAAGCGUUAUCCGGAAUGAUUGGGCGUAAAGCGUCUGUAGGUGGCUUUUCAAGUCCGCCGUCAAAUCCCAGGGCUCAACCCUGGACAGGCGGUGGAAACUACCAAGCUGGAGUACGGUAGGGGCAGAGGGAAUUUCCGGUGGAGCGGUGAAAUGCAUUGAGAUCGGAAAGAACACCAACGGCGAAAGCACUACUAGCUGGGCCGACAACUGACACUGAGAGACGAAAGCUAGGGGAGCAAAUGGGAUUAGGAUACCCGGGAU
rnacentral:rRNA from 1 species